rfam:Ictidomys tridecemlineatus contig051120, whole genome shotgun sequence.
AAAGUUCAGCGAUGAAGCCUGGAGUGAACAGGAGGCAUAGCAGCUCAUCAGACUGUGGGACUGUUCCUUGUUGCCUUCCUACUGAGAAAAAA